UGGAGUGCUACCAGGCUGCCUUCAACAUCCCUGAAGGACGCUAUUUAAAGCCUGCUCUAACUCUGAAAGUAAUAAGAAUUUAUACUUGAGAAACUAAACUCACACUCUCGCUUACUGGAUGUCAUCCUUUUUGUUUUCCACCACUGGCACAGUGAGGAGGUUGCAAACAGACACGUUUCGAGUUGUACAAGGAAUGCCCCACAGGAUUCCAACACCGUGUUAAAGAUCUGCAGAGGGAGAUGAAGGAGGAGAGAAGAGAGGCUCGUGCUUAGGAAGAAAGACAGCUCCACCAAGCUUGCCAGGCUUCGGAGGCGCAGCAAACUGCUCAGCACCUCCAACGACUUUGUGCUGAGGUGGAAGGAAGCAGCUUGGAGAGCUACUGCUAAACAAGUGAAAAAAAAAAAAAGAAAGAAACCUCUGCCAAGAUGAAAGUGGGGAUAUUAAAGAUGAAAAUGCAUAUCCACCGAGGCCAGCAAACAUGCAUAAAAGGUGGACUAAGUACCCCAACAUCAAACUGAAGACUACUGGCUUUCCUCAGCCCCUCUGGCAGCAUUUCGGAGGCAAAGGAUGUGAUUUAAGGAGAGCACAAACCAGAAGAAAUCAGGAAUCAAAACCAAGAGAAGCCAAUAGCUCACAUGAGAGCCCAGAAGAGAAUUCAGUGCCUUCACCAAAGCUCUCGGGCAUCCCUCUAACAGUUUCAUCUGGAGCUGGAGGAUCCUGCAUUUCUUCUGUGAGGGGUGACUUGCUGGCCCACCUGAUGAUCUAGCUGAUCCUCAUUGGGAGAUCUCUUUCUUGGGACGCUCUUGAGCCUAGUGAUUUUACACUGAAGCAGAGAUCCAAAGCUAAGCACUGAGCCAAACUCCUGGAAUCCAGUUUCAGAG